UGGCGGUAAAUCACUAUGACUUAGAAUUUUUAUUGGAACAAGCAAAUAAAUUAUUCAGUAGAGAUAAUUGGGCUCAUGAAAUAAUUGAUCAAACAAUUGAUUUUGUAAAUGAAAAUAAUAAAAUUGUUUAUGUUGGGUGUUCGACGGUGGUAAGAGUUCUUCUCAAAUCUGGAAGAUUUCAUGAAAAUGUAGGGUUUCAUGAAGGCGUGUCUGAGUCCACUGGGAAAGCUUUCGAGGAUGCGAGAAAAAUAUCAUACACGGAUGCCCUAUAUAGGACAUUACUAUCAUUCGAAGAAUUUGGCGAACUGAUAAUUAAAAUUGAAGAAAAAAAAAAAAGAUUAGAAAAACAAAAAAAAUUAAAAAAUGAUUGGAUAAAAAAAAGUAAUAAUAUAUUGAUAAAAUAAUAAGAACUAAUCCUGAUUAAACAAAGCGAUUUACUCAAUAAUAAAUAUGUAUCUAUAUAGCAUUAAGAUUAAAUCGUUUUGAAUUAUUUUGAAUCGUUUCUUUUAAUCAGGGAAUUAAUUAAUCGCUAUCAUAAUAUAAACAUUUGAUAUUUAAUAUAGAUAUGGUGGAAGCUACAGUUAGUAAUAAAAUCUUAGAGGAAAUGGAAAAAGAUUCGAUGACAGAAGUUUAAUUAAAAAAUAAUUGAUUUAAUAAGAAUUACGUUAUGUGAUAAUUAAUUGUUCAUAAAAAUAUUUUAA